AUAUUUAGCUGGCAAGGGAGAUACCAUGAUCACAAAGGUGGUUUUCCCAGAGCGAGGCUUAUCCAUUGCACUCCGGAUGUGCUGACCACUACAAUUUCUCCAAAUGUGGGAAACUUGACUGCAUAAUUUGUGGUAGUAGAGGAUUGCAUUUGAGCUCUCCCCUG